GGGUGACUAGCUCAAUGGUAGAGCAUCGGACUCUUAAUCCGCUGGUUCAGGGUUCGAGUCCCUGGUCACCCA
rfam:Cyanothece sp. PCC 7822, complete genome.